UUCACACAUGAGUCAGCCUACACAGGCAGAGAGAGCACAUAACAGUUCCACAGGGUAUAUGUGUAUCACAGCAUGUGUGUCAGAGCACAAUGGAGCUCAGGGGACAACUUGGAGGAGCUGGUCCUCUCCUUCCAACAUGCAAAUUCCUGGAAUCGAACUUGGGUCCUCAGGUUUGCUUGCAGAUGCCUUUACCUGCUGAGCCAUUUUUUCAGUCCUCCUUCAGUAGUUUGAAUGCUCGCCCGCCUUCAGCUCUUACGUUACUGAGGGCCCCUUGCAUGCGGUGGAUUGGAACCUGGGAAGCUUUCUGCCUUUGCUUUCUGCAUGUGGAUUACAACACGCUUGUGUCAACCCCUUCCAUCUAUUGUAUUUAGGGCCGGAGGGUUUGGUGCUGCUGUAUUAGUGACCAUCAUCAGGUUUGGGAAGUGAUUACUUCUUCAAAUGUUUUCCUUUCUCUUUCUGGAGCCACCAUUAUACACUGGGACACUUGAGCUCCUUCAAACUCACAUCUGCCUCCAAAAGACGGUAUGAACAAAACUGUGUGAGCACUGAACACUCCACAGUCUAUCAGAUUCUAGACCCAGUGGUGGAGUUGUGCACUUUGGUAGCCAGUUGAAGCAAGAAGUUUAGUCUGUCAUAGUUCUACAAGCUCCAAGCCCCACAUCAAUGUGCUGGCUGCCCCAGCUGUAUCAGGAGGGUCUCUUUGCAGUUUGUAGAUGACACACAUGAUUGAAAGAAAGCAAUUUCUCUGAUGUGUCUCUCUACGCUGGUUUAUUUUACUUAUGUAUCUGUGUGUGUGUGGCAGGUCUGCAUGCCAUGUUCAUGCAGGAAGGUGCUUAUGGAGAGCAGAGGAACCCUUACAGCAGGCGUUACAGGAAGUGGUGAGCCACCCAGUGUGAGUGCUGGGAAUUAAACUCAGGUCCUCUGAAAACGCACAGAGCUCUUAUCCACGGAGCCAUCUCUCUGACACUAAGGAACAUGAGCUCUCGGCUUUCUCUGGGCAUGAGUACUAGAUCAGUUGGUAUGAGAUGGAGAAGGAGAAUCCGUGCUGACCAGCCUUCCUGGCAAGUUUCAAACCAAUGAGAAAGCUCUUCUUAGACAAGGGGGAAGCAUCACCUAGGGAACUGUAGCUGAGGUGGUAUUCUGCCCUGCUCCAAGAGAGACAGAGAGUUGGGGGGCAGACAAAACCAUGUAACCAUGAAACACUCAAUGGUACAGUAUAUUCUAGAUUAUGUGGUAGAGGUUUUCACAUUGUAUGUGUAUGUGCACGUGUGUGUGUGUGCAUGUAGGUGUUGUAUAAAAAACUCGAUUAAAAGAAAUAAAAUCCAGAACAGGAAGAAUCAUCAAAAACCUCUAGCCUCCUCUUUUACCUCAAUCACUUGCACUCUUCCGUGAUGCAGCCUGUCUGGCCGUGGGUCGCUGGGUUCCUUAUGGAUGAGGGACAUGUGUUGACCCUGUUUAAAAAGAAGCAGGAAUGCCUUAGUGCCUUAGAUGGGAUGCUUUGAGAGUCCUAUUGAUAUUAGAAGAGAUUCCUCUGUGUGUCUACAGCCUAUGAAACAACUGGCCCUUGACAACUCAGCUCUGAUGGCUUAGUGACAUGGAAACAGCUGGUGUGCUCAGCACCCUGAAGAAGAGAAAGUUUAUGGAUGAAGACAUGGGCCCAGGACUCCAGGGCUUCCACUCUCAGCCUUGGCCCCACCCCAUCAAGUGGCUGUGGGGAGGGAGCUUCAAAAAAAACGGCAUGGGCUCAUCCCUGCAUGGCAGCCCCACCCUAAGUCACACACUGCAGCCCAGCUGUUCUGUGUCGGUUCCAAACCCUCAGGCGGUCCAUUCAUGAGGGCAGAACAUGAUCGAGGCUCACAACCACUUCAAACCUUAAUCUAAGGAACAAGACUCUUAAUUACAGUGGUUUAAAAUAAAGCAACAAAGAAAAAAUGUUGUGAGCCUAAAUGGUUUCUAUAUCUGAAGGUAAAAUUAACGAUCACUACCUCUCAGCACAUUCUAAGAGUAUGUGCAGCCUAGUCCUCUGCAGUAAAAAUUACAUACAGCAGCUCUC